AACGAACGCUGGCGGCAUGCCUAACACAUGCAAGUCGAACGAAGGCUUCGGCCUUAGUGGCGCACGGGUGCGUAACGCGUGGGAAUCUGCCCUUAGGUUCGGAAUAACAGUUAGAAAUGACUGCUAAUACCGGAUGAUGACGUAAGUCCAAAGAUUUAUCGCCUGAGGAUGAGCCCGCAUAGGAUUAGCUAGUUGGUGUGGUAAAGGCGCACCAAGGCGACGAUCCUUAGCUGGUCUGAGAGGAUGAUCAGCCACACUGGGACUGAGACACGGCCCAGACUCCUACGGGAGGCAGCAGUGGGGAAUAAUGGACAAUGGGCGCAAGCCUGAUCCAGCAAUGCCGCGUGAGUGAUGAAGGCCUUAGGGUUGUAAAGCUCUUUUACCCGAGAUGAUAAUGUCAGUAUCGGGAGAAUAAGCCCCGGCUAACUCCGUGCCAGCAGCCGCGGUAACAC
rnacentral:rRNA from 1 species